CCACCACCCCCCCGGACCACAGCCCCAUCCUGGCCCCAGCGCCAGCGCUGCACCCUCGUCCUUCAGCUCUGACAACAGCUCCAGCUGCUCCUGUGAGUCCUGCUGCCCCUCCUCCCCCUGUAGCUCUUCCCUCUCCGCCCCCGUGACCUACGAGACGGACACCAGCCGUGCCUCCACCCCCAGUGACGCUCCACCCACAAUGUUGUCCGAGUAUGCAACUGCCACUGUUGUGAUGGAGACAGUUGUCACAGAAACGCCAGAGACGGUUGUCACAGUAACUUCAGAGACAGGUGCAGAAGGUGCUAACAGCAGUAGGACAGCUGUUGUUGCUGAGGCAUUGAUUGUUGCCACGGUAAUCUCUGAGGACGUCAGCCCCGGACAGUCUCCUGACUCUGUACUGGUGGACUACAUUCUGGAUGCUUCCAUGGAAACCGUUACUGUGGAGACUGAGGCCAGUGGUGUAGCUUCUCCAACUACUCCCAUGCUCACAGAACAGCCUCUAGUUGCCACACCAACAGAAAGUCCUCUAGUUGGCACGUCAACAGAACAGCCUAUUGUUCCCACGCCAACAGAACAUCCUCUUGUUGCCACACCUACAGAACAUCCUUUAGUUGCCACACCAACAGAAUCUCCUAUUGCUGGGACUGUCAGCCCUGGUCACAACAAACUCCUUACUACAGGCCCUGUCUCUGUGUCAACCUCACACUCUGUCCUGGACUCUGGAAUAACAGACCCUGUCUCAACCACACACUCUGGAAUAACUACAGACUCUUUCCCAACCCCAUAUUCUGUCCUGGACUCUGGAAUAACUACAGACCCUGUUUCAACCCCACACCCUGGAUUAACGACAGAGCCUGUCUCAGUCUCAACCCCACACUCUGGAAUAACUACAGACCGUGUUUCAACCCCACACCCUGGAUUAACGACAGAGCCUGUCUCAGUCUCAACCCCACACUCUGGAAUAACUACAGACCCUGUUUCAACCCCACACUCUGGAAUAACGACAGACCCUGUCCCGGUCUCAACCCCACACUCUGGAAUAACUACAGACCCUGUCCCGGUCUCAACCCCACACUCUGGAAUAACUACAGACCCUGUCCCGGUCUCAACCCCACACUCUGGAAUAACGACAGACCCUGUCCCGGUCUCAACUCCACACUCUGGAAUAACUACAGACCCUGUCCCGGUCUCAACCCCACACUCUGGAAUAACUACAGACCCUGUCCCGGUCUCAACCCACACUCUGGAAUAACUACAGACCCAGUUUCAACCCCACACUCUGGAAUAACUACAGACCCUGUUUCAACUCCACACUCUGGAGUAACGACAGAGCCUGUCUCAGUAUCAACCCCACACUCUUCCCUGGACUCUGGUGUUACUACAGACCCUAUCUCUGCCCCCACUGUGACCCCUGUAACCCCGACCAUGACCCUGACCUCUCCAGCUCCAGUCUCUUCUAGAGUUCUAGACUCAGCUGUGAUCUCCCCAUCCUCUCCUCCUCUGUCAUCCCCCUCCUUUCCACCUCUCUCCUCCCCCUCCUCUUCUCCUGUCUCCUCCCCUCCUAAUCCUCCUCAUGUCUCCUCCACCCCUACUCAUCCUCUCUCAUUUCCUCCUUCCUCCUCCAAC
ensembl:lncRNA